AGAUAAGAGGGGUACAGCAGUGAGCAAAAUAAGCAAAGAAGACAGAAAAAAAGGACAAACAAGGAAAUAUACUAUACAUCAGACAGGGUCUAACAUGGGUGGUCCACAAAGUCAUUCAGGGACCUAGGCCAACAGAGCUCUGCCAGAUUCAACAUGUGGCUUCCAGGAUUGCCCGGGACAUUGUCUCCAACGGAGGCAGAAAGAAAGAGAGCAUGGAGAUGGUGCACCAGCUUCUUAAGCACCAUGGCCUGGAGGAGGUUAAAAAGUUUCCUUUCUUGGGACUUCCCUGGUGGC